rnacentral:rRNA from 1 species
AUGGCUUCACCUUCCCCUCUGAAGAUGCUCGCCGUCGUGUGCGUCCUUGUGCUGGUCGGCCUCAGCUUGAGCCAGCAGGCGACGGCGUCGGGCUGCGAUGACUGCGCUGACGGACACAAUCCGGCGGCUUGUGCUCCCAGCCAAACAUCCCGGCGCGCGUGUAUGCGUGUUGAUUGGUAUGACGCAAAAUGGCAAUAA